rnacentral:ncRNA from 1 species
UCCCCGAAAAGGCAAAUCCGCCGAAAGGUGGAGGCGCAAAGUCUCGGGCCUACGGCGCAAACAUGCGCUAUGGCGGCCGGGCUGCCGAA